GUAGGGAGCGAGCGUUAUCCGGAUUUAUUGGGCGUAAAGAGUUCGUAGGCGGUUUGUUUAGUCUAAAAUCAAAACGUGGGGCUUAACUCCAUCUCGUUUUAGAAACUGGCAGACUUGAGUGUGGUAGAGGCAAGUGGAAUUUCUAGUGUAGCGGUUAAAUGCGUAGAUAUUAGAAGGAACACCAGUGGCGAAGGCGGCUUGCUGGGCCAUUACUGACGCUGAGGAACGAAAGCGUGGGGAGCAAAUAGGAUUAGAUACCCUAGUAGUCCACGCCGUAAACGAUGAGUACUAAGUGUCGGGCAACCGGUGCUGAAGUAAACACAUUAAGUACUCCGCCUGAGUAGUACGGUCGCAAGGCUG
rnacentral:rRNA from 1 species